UACGUAGGGGGCGAGCGUUGUCCGAAGUUACUGGGCGUAAAGCGCGCGUAGGCGGGUUCUUAAGUGAGGGGUGAAAGGUUUGGGCUCAACCCAAACACUGCCUUUCAUACUGGGGACCUUGAGUAUGGGAGAGGCGAGUGGAAUGGUCGGUGUAGCGGUGAAAUGCGUAGAUAUCGAGAGGAACACCAGAGGUGAAGACGGGUUGCUGGGCCGACACUGACGCUGACAGCGCGAAAGCCAGGGGAGCAAACGGG
rnacentral:rRNA from 1 species